GAUGACCCCAUUUUCCAGCAUGGACAUAUACAAAAUCAAUUGUUUCAUGAUCUAAUGCUAUUUGAGAAUCAAAUUCCAUUUUUCAUCGUUGAUUGUUUGUUCAAUAUGAUCAUUGAUGGGGGCAUCAAUAUUAUAAUACGGCCUUUACUACGAAAUAGAAUUUUCCCAGUGCGAAAUGAAGAUUUUCCUGAAGUCCCUAUUAAUGGUCACCAUCUUCUUGGCAUUGUACAUGACAUCCAGUGUUCUUCAUCUGCAAGGAUAUUCUCUGAUGUGGAAUCUGGAAAUCCUGCAAAGAUGUUAUCUAAAAUAAAUUCUGGAAAUCCAGGAUCUCCAAUUUUCAGGGUGAAUAUAAAUUCAGUUGAAGAGCUCACAGUCUGGGGCAGAGCCAGGAAUUUUGUUCAGUGUGGGCAAAAUUUAAUCAAAGUCGAAAUUUUCGAUUAUGGAUUUAAUGAUAUUAUGACAAUGCUAAAAAUAACAUAAUGACAACACUAAUAAGAUAAUUAUCUUCUUCCUUAUUCUAGGAUCUAUAGCAAGUUGUGCAACAUCAAAAUUCAUUUUAUUCGCUAUCUUCACAUCAACAUUUUCUACGAAAUAUUUUCUUUUAAAGAACUCUGCAUUGACACUUCACACUAAAAUAAACCACAAGUGACAAUUAAGUACUAAUUGAUAAGAAAAGAACUACUAAUUUUUACAAAUUGGUAGAACACCAUAAAAUCAUUACUAAUUAUUUAAAUAAUUGACAAAAAUCAAAAUUUCAAGAAUCAAUCACAAAUAUUACCAAUAUUUAACAUUCACAUAAUCAAAAUCCUUAAUAUUAAAUAGAAAAAUCACAUGAUAAAGAAAAUUUUUGUUGCAAAUUUGAGGGUCCAAAAACAUGUGAGUUUUAGGAAAGAAAUGGACUUUGAAAAUAUUUCAAAACGAGAGCACAUUUAAAGAAAAUUUUUUAAUUUCCUGUUGAGGGAAGAGAGUCAGAAAAUGUCACCGUACACUUGGAGUUGGGGCAAAUUAGUGUAUGGAUUGGACUUUAAAUAAAUGAAAAACAUACCUUAUAAAAAAAAAAGAAAAAAAAUUGACCAUGGGCUUGGGCCAAAAGUCCAAUGCGGACAUUUGCCUGCACUGGACUGUGCAUGGCUCCGCUCACAGAGGCAGGGAUUUCCUUCAAAAAGUUGAAAGCUAACAGUUUGUUUGAUAUUAAAUUUGAGAAUAAAGUUAUGAAGAUUCCAGAAUGGGAAAUUUUUGAUUCAACAGAAUCAUUGUUCCGAAAUCUGAUUGCAUAUGAGUACUACCUCACAGGCAGUCCUCAAAAACUUGUGACCGACUACGUAUUCUUCAUGCAUUGUCUCGUCAAUUCCCCCGAAGAUGC
rnacentral:lncRNA from 1 species